CAGGCUUGUAAAUAACCUGUUCGGUGUGUGCCACUGCACCCUUGUAUCAUUCAGGGUCAAACAUUACCUUGUUCGAAUAUAAUUACUUUUAUGUGAGGGUUGGCAAAAAUUAGCAAAAUUUAUGGAACUGCCUGCCCAAACCCUUUUCCAUUUUUGUUUUAUAUCGCCUAUAUGUUUCAAUAAAUCUGACACAAAAGUUUUAUUACAAAGUCCAACACUGAAGUUCCAUUUAAGCCGGCUCUUGCGAUGUUUGGAACAUGAUUUAUUACUUACCCAGCAGUCUCCCCACAAAUAGUAACAGACAUGUUUACUUGUGGUCAGCUAAUUUUACGAGAGCCGUAAACCUGAUAGGUUUUGGAGAACAUAUAUUUUCAUUUUCACAGUCCAAUUGCACUUUUGUUCAGAGCUUUCAGUCGGCUAGAUAAAAUUUUAUUUGGUCUAAGUAUUCGUCAGUUAUGCGCCUGCACCUACUACGCAUGUGCACUCAAUAACAAUACUUAUCAAAGUAAAUUAGGUAUAUGUGCUAUACAUUAAACCGAAACGACUUUUUUUUAUCUGUUUGAACUAAUUUCCCAUGCGAGACUUAAAAUCAUUAAUGUAUUGAAUAAUCAUGAAGCGGUGACUACCGAGUUAGCAUUCUGCAGGCGCCUCCUCCGACGUGGGAAAAUGGUCACAUUCUAACUGUCUCCACCAGCUUUGAUUGAAAUAUCAAGGUCGUAAGACCAUGGCUUACUUUGACGCGGCAACUACACAGGAAAUUUAAUUUGCAUAAAACAUACCACAUGGAUACUCUUCCCUAAAACGGAAUUUUACCUUGGUUCCGAUUCAGUUAAUCCAAUUACCGAAAAUUACUAUAUUUACACGGUUAAUGUAAAUUAUCGUGACUGAUUAGCAUGGCAAUAGCUGAUUAUCACUCGUAAUAGGUGUAAGUGUAGGUAAAAGUCACUGGAUUUUUCUUGAUUAUUUAAAAUAAUGCAAGAGUUUAUAUUUAUUGGGAUAGCUUCGGGUGAAUUUUUCAAAGUGUGGUGCGGUAUGGGAAGGUGGAAUAAAACGAGCACCAGCUUUGGCAUCGAAUAAACACAUAUAAUAUCUCUGAAAUAAACUUUGACAACUA